UCAGGACGAACGCUGGCGGCGUGCUUAACACAUGCAAGUCGAACGGGAUAAUCCGGAAGUUCGGCUGAAGGGAUAUCGAGUGGCGGACGGGUGAGUAACGCGUGAGCAACCUGUCCCAGACAGGGGAAUAACACUUGGAAACAGGUGCUAAUACCGCAUAAGACCACAGCAUCACAUGAUGCAGGGGUAAAAGGAGCAAUCCGGUUUGGGGUGGGCUCGCGUCCGAUUAGAUAGUUGGUGAGGUAACGGCCCACCAAGUCGACGAUCGGUAGCCGACCUGAGAGGGUGAUCGGCCACAUUGGAACUGAGAGACGGUCCAAACUCCUACGGGAGGCAGCAGUGGGGAAUAUUGGGCAAUGGGCGCAAGCCCUGACCCAGCAACGCCGCGUGAGUGAAGAAGGCUUUCGGGUUGUAAAGCUCUGUUAUAGGGGACGAAGGAAGUGACGGUACCCUAUAAGGAAGCCCCGGCUAACUACGUGCCAGCAGCUGC
rnacentral:rRNA from 1 species